rnacentral:rRNA from 1 species
CCUACGGGCGGCAGCAGUGGGGAAUAUUGCACAAUGGGGGAAACCCUGAUGCAGCGACGCCGCGUGAGUGAAGAAGUAUCUCGGUACGUAAAGCUCUAUCAGCGGGGAAGAAAAUGACGGUACCUGACUAAGAAGCCCCGGCUAACUACGUGCCAGCAGCCGUGGUAAUACGUAGGGGGCAGGCGUUAUCCGGAUUUACUGGGUGUAAAGGGAGCGUAGACGGCAGCACAAGUCUGGAGUGAAAUCCCGGGGCUUAAACCCGGAACUGCGUUGGAAACUGUGCGGCUGGAGUGCAGGAGGGGUAAGCGGAAUUCCUAGUGUAGCGGUGAAAUGCGUAGAUAUUAGGAGGAACACCGGUGGCGAAGGCGGCUUACUGGACUGUAACUGACGUUGAGGCUCGAAAGCGUGGGGAGCAAACAGGAUUAGAUACCCGUGUAGUC